rnacentral:rRNA from 1 species
UUUAGUAUCCUGCGUCAGGAUGAACGCUGGCGGCGUGCCUAACACAUGCAAGUCGAACGAAGUCAUUAGAACUUGAUUUUUCGGAAUGAAGGUUCAUAUGACUGAGUGGCGGACGGGUGAGUAACGCGUGGGCAACCUGCCUUACACAGGGGGACAACAGCUGGAAACGGCUGCUAAUACCGCAUAAGCGCACGGUCUCGCAUGAGACAGUGUGAAAAACUCCGGUGGUGCAAGAUGGGCCCGCGUCUGAUUAGCUGGUUGGUGGGGUAACGGCCUACCAAGGCGACGAUCAGUAGCCGACCUGAGAGGGUGACCGGCCACAUUGGGACUGAGACACGGCCCAAACUCCUACGGGAGGCAGCAGUGGGGAAUAUUGCACAAUGGGGGAAACCCUGAUGCAGCGACGCCGCGUGAGCGAAGAGGUAUUUCGGUAUGUAAAGCUCUAUCAGCAGGGAAGAAAAUGACGGUACCUGACUAAGAAGCUCCGGCUAAAUACGUG